CGAGCCCGAGCCCCUGCCGGAGGCAGAUUCGAAGAAGCUCCCCUCCCCUGCCCGGGGGGCAUCGGAGGCCGACAAGGAGACCCCACGCCUGCUGGUCCCCGACAUCCAGGAGAUCCGGGUCAGGUGCGUGGGGUCCCGCCCCUGCGAGGACAGGCAGGCCGCCCCCGACCUAGAGUGGGGGAGCUCCGCGCCAGGGGGUCAAGCAGGUGCCACCCCCCAGAGGUAGGGCAGGCGUGGAGAAGGAGCAGACGUGAAGGGCAGGAGGAGGACCAGAGCUAGGGCUGGGGGCCCCGGCUGGGGACCUGGUGGGCAGCUGCGGACACGGGGUUCGGAUGUCCCCCCAGCCCGAUCGUCUCCAAGAAGGGGUACCUGCACUUCCUGGAGCCGCACACGGCCGGCUGGGCCAAGCGCUUCGUGGUGGUGCGGCGGCCCUACGCCUACAUGUACAACAGCGACAAGGACGCCGUGGAGAGGUUUGUGCUCAACCUGUCCACGGCCCAGGUCGAGUACAGCGAGGACCAGCAGGCCAUGCUCAAGACCCCCAACACGUUUGCCGUGUGCACGGAGCACCGUGGGAUCCUGCUGCAGGCCAACAGCGACAAGGACAUGCACGACUGGCUGUACGCCUUCAACCCCCUCCUGGCCGGGACCAUACGGUGAGCGCCUCCCGCGGAGGGUCGGGGCCGUUCCUGACCACCCGCGUGCCCGUCCUCAGGCAGCUGCGCCCCACGACCUGUGUGGAUCCCU
rnacentral:lncRNA from 1 species